AUAGUCAUGGAAAGACAUUCGUAAUAUUUUGUUUUGCAAAAAUCCAGGGCUUUUAAACAAGACUUCACACAGGAUAAUAGUUUUGCAAAAAUAUAUCCAAAAAAUAUGCCUAGAAAGAGAUCUGAGGGGAUCUACACCAAACUGUUAAUAUCUAUCUUUAGGUAGUAGGGUUUUAGGAGAUAUUUGUCUUUUUUAUAAUUUUCUGUAUUUCCAAUACAGAAAAUGAAGGUGUAUCAUUCUUAGAAAAAAUACAAGUGUGUAUCAUUCUUGGAAAUUUACUUAAAAUGAAUGUGUAUCAUUCUUAGAAAAAAAUAUUAAAAUUAUUUAAAAGAAACAAAAUUUUGUUCUUAAAUAUGUGUAUUCUUUUCACAUCUCAUUUUUCAGAUACAUGAAAUGGCAGCUACGAAACAUCUUAAAAGGUCAGAAAAUAAAUGAAUUGUUGGCUAGAGGUCAGCCAACAAUAAAAAAUUUGGAUGAUCAAAACUGCUUGACAUAUAUACAAUGCUAGGUGAGUUAAUUUUAUUAAGGCUGAAGAGAAAAAAAUGUAUAAAGGUUUUCAAAUGAAGAACCUGGCCUGACUGGCAUGUGUCCUUAUUAUGAUCCCAGCGUGUCCAUCUUGCAGAGGGCUUAAAGAUGAUCCACAUCAGCUCCCACAUUACACAGACAGGUAAGGCACUUGCUCCAGGUCUGGGAGCUGUUUACAGCAAAGCCAGGACUAGAACCCUGUGUCCAGCUCUAGCUCCCAUCUCAGGGCCAAAGCUACAAGGACACCCGCCCUCUCCGUGUGACCAUGGAGGAUGCCGGGGCUGAGAUUUCCUUCCUGGAGCGCUCCAGGUAUGCAUUCUGACGGCUCACGUUACUUUCUUCUCAGUGGCGGUCCUUGGCUCUAGAAUGUGAUCUCCUUGGAGAUAGACAUGGCACUAGGCGUGCGGAUCCUGUCUGGAGUGGGCAGAGCUUCUUCUAGAAUACCAGGGCUUCCUGCCACAUUCUCUUCACUGCACGGCAGUUUGUCUGUGUUCUCUGAAGUACUCUUCUGGGUUAAUUUGCCCUGCUUUGAUGAAACACGCCCUGAGCAUCAGUCACCCUGGUAUUGUGAAGAAUCCAUGUGUGAUCUUGGGUGUCAGGCAGACCAAAUGAAGUUUCCUCCAGUCCCUCCACUUGACAGGAACUUCUCUCCACUGUGUUAGCGGGGUAUGGUGAGUGUAGCUCUGUGAGUUGGAGGCUCUGUGCAUGCAGUGGAGCCAGCAGAGCCCACACAGACUGGCGAGCCCGUGGACUUCAGACAUGU
rnacentral:lncRNA from 1 species